CUACGGGAGGCAGCAGUAGGGAAUUUUGGACAAUGGGCGCAAGCCUGAUCCAGCCAUGCCGCGUGAGUGAAGAAGGCCUUCGGGUUGUAAAGCUCUUUCGCAAGGGAAGAAAAGCCCCUCAAUAAUACCGGGGGGUCAUGACGGUACCUUGAUAAGAAGCACCGGCUAACUACGUGCCAGCAGCCGCGGUAAUACGUAGGGUGCGAGCGUUAAUCGGAAUUACUGGGCGUAAAGCGUGCGCAGGCGGUUUGACAAGUCAGAUGUGAAAUCCCCGGGCUCAACCUGGGAACUGCGUUUGAAACUGUCAGACUAGAGUGUGUCAGAGGGAGGUAGAAUUCCACGUGUAGCAGUGAAAUGCGUAGAGAUGUGGAGGAACACCGAUGGCGAAGGCAGCCUCCUGGGAUAACACUGACGCUCAUGCACGAAAGCGUGGGGAGCAAACAGGAUUAGAUACCCUCGUAC
rnacentral:rRNA from 1 species